rnacentral:lncRNA from 1 species
CUUUUACACUGAGUUAGUUCGUGGAACAGAUUUGAAGAAAGAGAUUUCAAGCACUCGUCAAGAUGGUCGGAAGAUCCCAACAGGCGACGCUGGAGUUACGCCCCUGGGUGGACUCGUUUUUCAGCAAGAUAACGCCGGAGCAGCUGGAUGUGUUGAAACUGGAUUCAGCGGAUGAUGCCACCAAAACCAUUUUGGCAGAAAUCCUCCUGGACCUGGUGAUUUCGUUGACCCAGUCCGUGGUCAGGACUGUUGAGCGGUCUGCUGUAGCCGUGUCCGAGGACCGGGUGUUGUCCCUCCUGGGGGACACACUUGCUCGAACCUUUGCAGAGAUUUUACAUGUUAACGAGGCCGUUUGCAGUGCGAACCUGGAGCCCCUGACGAGCCUCGUCGUUAAACAGGUGACAGAAAGUGUCAACUCUGUCCUCUCUGCAAGAGAAGACACAGCAGAGAUUGUAGUCAACGUGCAGGACACCUCCCCACUCAGACUGAACGCCAUGGUUUAUCACGCCUGCCAAGUUAUCAAGGAGUUUAAAGGUAAGAUGACAGCACAGCGCAGAUCUACACCAUGUAGACAGAGAAGAGUUUUUAGCCCUGUGCAGAUCAUCAGUAAUGACAUUGAAGACAAACAUGACAAAGAGACAUUUGCAAAACCAGAACACCAGGAAAACAGCUCAGUGACAUCAGUCGAAGAUAGAGACAGACUUGUAGCCACAACAUCAGAAGUGGUGCAGAACAUUCUCAGGAAGGAGGCCAGUGACAUCACUGAACCUCUUCUGGCUGAUGUGUCAGACCCUGAAUAUGAGCUGCUGGAGUCUGGUUCUCUACAGGAGAUCAGAGUUGUUGCAGAUGAGAUUGCUGAGGUGAUUGUUGAAAGCGUGCAGAGCACGGAAGACAGCAGUGCUGCAGGAAAAGCAUCGUCCAAAUUGAAUCUGAGCAAAGUUGGAAGCAAGAUCAAGACCUUCUUUGCAAAUCAGGUUGCCAGGUCAUCAAUUUAUCGCAUCAUGGCAGAGCUGAAGAGCACCUUCUUCGACGGCCCCACGGUUAAAGGGACGCAGUCGGUGCAGCCUUUACUGGCUAGUGUUGACUCCCUCCUUCACUCACAGGAAACACAGGGUGUGGUGAAUGAGUCUUUCUGCCUAGAAGACUUUUCCACUGAUAGAGCACAAGCACUCACAAACAACGUCAGCGAUGUCCUGUCAGAGUAUGCAGAUGGGAUGAGAUUUACCCCAGAAAAAUGUUCAACAACCUCUGGUCCCAUUAACGUGUUGGUGAGUCCACCACGUGCUAUGAUAAACACCUACAUAAAGGAGAAAGUGGGGCGCUUCGUUGGCCUGAUGAGGUGGUGGAUGAACACCCAGGCUGACGCCCACAGUGACAGGGUGACAUCACUCACUGUGGAGGAUGCUUCAGCAACUGCAUCGGCAUCUCAAAAGAUCAUUGCCGAGUUAGAAGAAGAAAGAAGACAGAAGAUUGAAAGGAAGAAGGCGUCUGUCAGGGUCAUCGUAUGUAAGCUGGUCACACGGGUACUGAAGGAAGCAAGAAUCGACAUUCAGAAAGGUGAGAUGAUCGUAGAUCGUCUCUUUGAAAGUGUUUGGGCAAUCUGUCCAGCACAAUACGACGAUUUUAACUUCACUUCCGACAUGUUUAAACACCUGGACAAGGCCAUUUACAAAGACCUGUGCGAACAUUGGAAGGGUGGCCCUACGACCGUGGCUGCAAUGUGCGGGCUGGAAACACUGGACGUCCACUUCAUCGCCAGCUGUUUCACACACCACUUUAUGAAGUCCCUGAAAAAAAGAAACACCAUCUGCAGGUUCUUCUCCAGUGUGUGUAAAGUCAUCUCCAGCCCCUUCACACACAGGACUGGGGGUCGUCUAGGUUAAACUACACCUAGACGCCCCCCAGUUCUGCGCUCGGGCUCUGGGUGUCCCCUGCCUCAUUCACAAAUAUGAGGCGGGGGAUGCCCAGAGUUUGAGUGUUCAGGACCACCACAGGGGCCAUCUGUGUGACCUCACUGCAGUGAGCUUGCACAGUGGCUGCUGAGGUGGUGUGGGUUUACUCCGAGGCCUCCGGUUUCCUCCCACAUUUAAAAUUAAUCACUUAACA